rnacentral:rRNA from 1 species
GUAGUCCACGCCCUAAACGAUGCACACUAGACGGAUGCGGCUCUGACGCCGUAUCGGUCGAAGAGAAAUUGAUAAGUGUGCCGCCUGGGGAGUACGGUCGCAAGGCUAAAACUCAAAGGAAUUGACGGGGGCUCACACAAGCGGUGGAGCAUGUUGCUUAAUUCGAAGCAACGCGAAGAACCUUACCUGGGUUUGACAUGCACGGAUUAGUUGGUGGAAACAUCAAUGAGGCCCGCAAGGGUACAACGUGCACAGGUGCUGCAUGGCUGUCGUCAGCUCGUGCUGUGAAGUGUUUGGUUAAGUCCAUUAACGAGCGCAACCCCUGUCGUUAGUUGCUAACGCGUCAUGGCGAGGACUCUAACGAGACUGCCGGCGUCAAGCCGGA